AUGCCUUGCUCUGAAGAGGCCCCUGUCAUCUCCCCCAGCAAGCGGCCACGCCCUGCGGAGGAGGGCGGCAUAGGGCUCUGGGCGUUGUCGGGCUCUCAGAGCACGCCACUGCCCCAACGAAGGGGUCUGCGCGGGCAGACCUGUACAGUGCCUAUGAUUACACAGUACCACCUAUGGAGAAAAUCCUUGUGAAAACCGACAUUCAAAUAGCUCUUCCUUCUGGGUGUUAUGGAAGAGUAGCUCCACGUUCUGGAUUGGCUACAAAACACUUCAUAGAUGUAGGAGCUGGUGUCAUAGACGAAGAUUACAGAGGAAAUAUGGGUGUUGUACUGUUUAAUUUUGGCAAAGAAAAGUUUGAAGUCAAAAAGGGUGAUCGAAUUGCACAGCUCAUUUGUGAACGGAUUUUUUACCCUGAAAUAGAGGAAGUUCAAGUUUUAGAUUACACUAAAAGGGGUUCAGGAGGUUUUGGUUCCACUGGAAAGAAUCAAAAUUUAUGCAAGAAUAGAAAAUGAG